GCCGGGGUGGUGAAAUCGGUAAACACAGGGGACUUAAAAUCCCCCGGGCUUCGGCCCUUGCGGGUUCAAGUCCCGCCCCCGGCA
rnacentral:tRNA from 1 species